AUGUUUAUGUGUGUAUUUAUGUCUUGUAUUGCUGGUAAGUAACUUUCUUGCACUGAGGUCUGUUUGUUGCAAAUAUCUUUGACUUGUUUUUAUGUCUUAUAAUGUUUAUGUGUGUAUUUAUGUCUUGUAUUGCUGGUAAGUAACUUUCUUGCACUGAGGUCUGUUUGUUGCAAAUAUCUUUGACUUGUUUUUAUGUCUUAUAAUGUUUAUGUGUGUAUUUAUGUCUUGUAUUGCUGGUAAGUAACUUUCUUGCACUGAGGUCUGUUUGUUGCAAAUAUCUUUGACCUGUUUUUAUGUCUUAUAAUGUUUAUAUUUGUAUUUAUGUCUUGUAUUGCUGGUAAGUAACUUUCUUGCACUGAGGUCUGUUUGUUGCAAAUAUCUUUGACUUGUUUUUAUGUCUUGUAAUGUUUAUGUGUGUAUUUAUGUCUUGUAUUGCUGGUAAGUAACUUUCUUGCACUGAGGUCUGUUUAUUGCAAAUAUCUUUGACCUGUUUUUAUGUCUUGUAAUGUUUAUGUGUGUAUUUAUGUCUUAUAUUGCUGGUAAGUAACUUUCUUGCACUGAGGUCUGUUUAUUGCAAAUAUCUUUGACUUGUUUUUAUGUCUUAUAAUGUU
ensembl:lncRNA